AUUGAACGCUGGCGGCAUGCCUUACACAUGCAAGUCGAACGGCAGCACGGGAGCAAUCCUGGUGGCGAGUGGCGAACGGGUGAGUAAUAUAUCGGAACGUGCCCAGUCCUGGGGGAUAAACGUAGCGAAAGCUACGCUAAUACCGCAUACGAUCUAUGGAUGAAAGCGGGGGAUCGCAAGACCUCGCGCGAUUGGAGCGGCCGAUAUCAGAUUAGGUAGUUGGUGAGGUAAAGGCUCACCAAGCCGACGAUCUGUAGCUGGUCUGAGAGGACGACCAGCCACACUGGGACUGAGACACGGCCCAGACUCCUACGGGAGGCAGCAGUGGGGGAAUUUUUGGGACAAUGGGCGCAAGCCUGAUCCAGCAAUGCCGCGUGCAGGAUGAAGGCCCUUGGGUUGGU
rnacentral:rRNA from 1 species